rnacentral:rRNA from 1 species
GACGAACGCUUGCGGCGUGCUUAACACAUGCAAGUCGAACGGAAAGGCCCUGCUUUUGUGGGGUGCUCGAGUGGCGAACGGGUGAGUAACACGUGAGUAACCUGCCCUUGACUUUGGGAUAACUUCAGGAAACUGGGGCUAAUACCGGAUAGGAGCUCCUGCUGCAUGGUGGGGGUUGGAAAGUUUCGGCGGUUGGGGAUGGACUCGCGGCUUAUCAGCUUGUUGGUGGGGUAGUGGCUUACCAAGGCUUUGACGGGUAGCCGGCCUGAGAGGGUGACCGGUCACAUUGGGACUGAGAUACGGCCCAGACUCCUACGGGAGGCAGCAGUGGGGAAUAUUGCACAAUGGGCGGAAGCCUGAUGCAGCAACGCCGCGUGCGGGAUGACGGCCUUCGGGUUGUAAACCGCUUUCGCCCGUGACGAAGCGUGAGUGACGGUAAUGGGUAAAGAAGCACCGGCUAACUACGUGCCAGCAGCCGCGGUGAUACGUAGGGUGCGAGCGUUGUCCGGAUUUAUUGGGCGUAAAGGGCUCGUAGGUGGUUGAUCGCGUCGGAAGUGUAAUCUUGGGGCUUAACCCUGAGCGUGCUUUCGAUACGGGUUGACUUGAGGAAGGUAGGGGAGAAUGGAAUUCCUGGUGGAGCGGUGGAAUGCGCAGAUAUCAGGAGGAACACCAGUGGCGAAGGCGGUUCUCUGGGCCUUUCCUGACGCUGAGGAGCGAAAGCGUGGGGAGCGAACAGGCUUAGAUACCCUGGUAGUCCACGCUGUAAACGGUGGGUACUAGGUGUGGGGUCCAUUCCACGGGUUCCGUGCCGUAGCUAACGCUUUAAGUACCCCGCCUGGGGAGUACGGCCGCAAGGCUAAAACUCAAAGGAAUUGACGGGGCCCCGCACAAGCGGCGGAGCAUGCGGAUUAAUUCGAUGCAACGCGUAGAACCUUACCUGGGUUUGACAUGGAUCGGGAGUGCUCAGAGAUGGGUGUGCCUCUUUUGGGGUCGGUUCACAGGUGGUGCAUGGCUGUCGUCAGCUCGUGUCGUGAGAUGUUGGGUUAAGUCCCGCAACGAGCGCAACCCUUGUUCACUGUUGCCAGCACGUUAUGGUGGGGACUCAGUGGAGACCGCCGGGGUCAACUCGGAGGAAGGUGGGGAUGACGUCAAGUCAUCAUGCCCCUUAUGUCCAGGGCUUCACGCAUGCUACAAUGGCUGGUACAGAGAGUGGCGAGCCUGUGAGGGUGAGCGAAUCUCGGAAAGCCGGUCUCAGUUCGGAUUGGGGUCUGCAACUCGACCUCAUGAAGUCGGAGUCGCUAGUAAUCGCAGAUCAGCAACGCUGCGGUGAAUACGUUCCCGGG